UGUCGUUUUAUCUCCCAAAUCACAAAUUUCCGUUAUUCUUUCCCAGUCCAAAUUUUACUCCCUCACAUUCACCGUUCACUUUCAGAGUUUCAGGCUGUUCUCUGCUACGCUCCUUCUCGACAGGAUCUUCCAUCAUCUGAGAACAACUUAUUCUUCUCCAUCAUUCAUUCUCCGCGAUUCAGGUAAGAAUGUUUCUUUUUGUUCAUUCUUUCUUCUUCUGAAUUGGCCUCACCUCUACUCUGUUGUCGUGCGUCACGGGCUGUGGUGCAGCCCCGCCAGUCCGCCAUUCUCUAGCGCGCGCCUUUGUCAGAUUUCUAGGGUUUCCAGUUUUCACUAAUACGGCCAUGUAAAGUUUAAUCUCAUAUUCAGUCUCAAAAUUACUUUACUUUUAAUUUCACUCAGAAAUUCUAUAGCAUUUUCUCUCAUCCAUUAUAUCAUCUAUUUGUUUGCUUGAAUCACUGAAUUGUGCCAGGUUAAGGAACCGAAUCGAUGUCCACAUUGUAGCCUCUUUUCUCAAACUCCGGCAGCUACAUGCUUCAAUCGCUAGAGUUUUUGUUCACAAGAUGAAUCCCAAAUUUCUAUCAAACCCGUUUUAUGUAUGUGAACCUAAAUUUUUGAGUGUUCUACGUUUGUUUUUCUUUUUUAAAAAUAAUUAUAAUUCUCUUUGUUUUGGGUAGUUUUGUUUUACCUAAUGUUUGGCUACAUUCUUCUUCAUGUUUGCUUAAUCUUCACCCCUAUGCAUUCUGUAGCAAGAUUUCUGUCUAUUUUAUAUCCAUGUAGAGUCAGAACAGGUUGAAGAUGCAGCACAACAGGUAUGUAAUUUACUUGCACCUCAGUUUCAAUUUAAUUAAGGUGUGCAAAUAGUUAAAUCAAUUUCACUUCAUAGUUGGUUUUUUAUUCACAUUGUCAUGUGUCUCUAAUAAAAUCUUUAGGCUCAUCUGAGAGCCAGCCGCAAGGAGUGCCCUUUCAAAUCCCUCUUGCAUUCUUCUCCUUCAUCAUUGUCCACACCGGAGAAUGGUGAAAGAUUUGUUUUCCCUUUCUCCGGUGCGAAAGUUGCUGGGUGGUGUAGGUGUAGAACCAUCACAAACUCUUCCAUGUUGCUGCUGGGGAGGGGCCAGAGUGGCUUCAUGUUGCUUUUAUUCUCUUUAGUUGAGGCUUCACUAUGCAUGCUUUGUUUUCUUGAGAUAUAUGAGGGACUUAUCUUAUGCUCAUGGACAACAGUCCACACACGGGCAGUGUGAACACCACUACUACAAACAAGCAGUCUCUAGCAAAAUUUUCCCUUUCUUUCAAUUUAAAGAAAAAAUGUUCCCCGAGUAUGCGGAGAAGUUCAACUAGCAGCAGUUUAUGAGCAAGAUGCUUCAAUGUCUUAUGAAAAAAGAUCAUGUCCUGUUUUUGUCUUUGGGGUUAUUACUAGGAGAAGACUGAGCAUUGCAGCUUAAUGGAGUCUGUUGGAGAUCCAUUAUAAUUGAAAAUGAGUAUUUAAAGAUUGGAGUGGACAUGUUACGAGACUUCCUUAAAUAGUUCCCUACCAUAUUGAACAGGUGUUGGACUAUUUUUUUUACCCAGAGAUACAUUUCGGUGGACAUUUGAGCAUGAGAUUGCAAAUCAAACACUUCAACUUUACAGGAAGAGGUUUGCUAGGGUUGGACUAUAAAUAGAAUGAAUUGGAGGGCCAAUUCUGAAGAGAAUCACAGUCGAAACAGAAUUGGCGAUUGCUAUUUUACCUGUCUGCUAACAAACUAUAGAAGGUGAAAGAAGAAUCCUUGCUCCAUCAGAUGGAACCUUAAGAAAAUUAGAGCAUUGCAUGGGCAGUUCUCUAAUUCCUCUAAUUCCUCUAUCUUUUCUAUUUUUUUCAAUACUUUCAAUAUGCAUUUGUUCUGUUCAUCUUAGGUAGCUCUCUAGGCUCUAGCAACUUGAUCUAAGACGUAGGUUAAAAUGGAUGCCCCUUAUGUAACUCCUUUUGCCUUUUUCUUUUUUCCCUAUAUUGUAUCAUGUUUAUACUGAAUUAACCUUGCGAUUGAGGAUAAGUGACUUAGAAUUUAUGUUUUUUAUUUAUUUAUAAAAAAAUCAUAUUAGUCCA